rfam:Schistocephalus solidus strain NST_G2 genome assembly, scaffold: SSLN_scaffold0010208
CAAAAGGCUUUAUUAAGCACACCAUUACUCCGAAAAGCCACAAAAUGUCAACCUAAGAAAUAUG